ensembl:lncRNA protein PXR1-like
GAAGAAGUAGAAGCCAGGUGUAAAUCUUUAACUAUUAUUGAGGGGAGGCGCCAGGAGGGAGGCUCCUUGAUGGGUGUGGUUUCCACAGGUCACGUGUCCACAUGUUUAGGGUGUAGUUAAAGGAAGUCCUGUAUUUAAACUAAAGUACGAGGAUUAAGAGCUGCAGUGACUCGUUGUGGAUAAAGGUCUCACCAGGUGCAACCAUGUCGUUCAACCUUAAUGAAGCUGUUGGUGGUGAUGAAGAGGUGAAGAAAGACGAGGCCCAAAAAGACCAGUUUAUCUGGGACAAGAAGAAAAAGGACAAGGACAGUGACUCUAAAGACAAGAAAAAAGAAAAGAGCGACAAAAGCCACAAAGAUGAUGAUUGCAAGAAAGACAAGGGUGAUGAUGGAGGAAAGAGUCAUGGCAAAGACAAAAAGAAGAAAAACAAGAGUCAUGACAAGGAGAAGAAGAAAGAUGGGAAGGGCUCAUCAUCCUCCUCUUCCUGCUCCAGUGGUGAUGAGCACUGAUCCUUCCUGAAGACCGGCCUGUCUCAUCUUUAAUGUUAUUGAUCAUUGAAUGACUAUUGUAUACUUGUGUUGUCCAUGAUUACAGUGACUAAUGGUGGUGGUGUUAUGAAAUAUAAAACAUCUGAUGAUACAGCCUUUUUUUUUUACGCAUACACCACAUGAUGGCGCUAUUUCUUCCUCUGCAGAUAAAGCAAAGUGUUCCAUAGUUGUUAAAUCUCUCUCCAACAUUGGUUCUUCAGCUUUUUCUGUUGUGUUCCAGCCUUUGAGUGAUGAAAGAAUUCCAGGGCCACCAUCCAAACAAAAUAGAUGAAAAUCUAACCUUUGUUGAAAAAUGUCAAAAUAGUGACCAUUCUUUUUCAAAACUAUUUCAAAAAUUAAAAUAUGUAAUCACACUGUAAGCUUUAUUUUCUGGACAAUAAAAAGGUAAGGCCGUUCUUACCA